GAUGAACGCUAGCUACAGGCUUAACACAUGCAAGUCGAGGGGCAUCAGGAAGAAAGCUUGCUUUCUUUGCUGGCGACCGGCGCACGGGUGAGUAACACGUAUCCAACCUGCCCUUUACUCGGGGAUAGCCUUUCGAAAGAAAGAUUAAUACCCGAUAGCAUAAUGAUUCCGCAUGGUUUCAUUAUUAAAGGAUUCCGGUAAAGGAUGGGGAUGCGUUCCAUUAGGUUGUUGGUGAGGUAACGGCUCACCAAGCCUUCGAUGGAUAGGGGUUCUGAGAGGAAGGUCCCCCACAUUGGAACUGAGACACGGUCCAAACUCCUACGGGAGGCAGCAGUGAGGAAUAUUGGUCAAUGGGCGCUAGCCUGAACCAGCCAAGUAGCGUGAAGGAUGAAGGCUCUAUGGGUCGUAAACUUCUUUUAUAUAAGAAUAAAGUGCAGUAUGUAUACUGUUUUGUAUGUAUUAUAUGAAUAAGGAUCGGCUAACUCCGUGCCAGCAGCCGCGGUAAUACGGAGGAUCCGAGCGUUAUCCGGAUUUAUUGGGUUUAAAGGGAGCGUAGGUGGACUGGUAAGUCAGUUGUGAAAGUUUGCGGCUCAACCGUAAAAUUGCAGUUGAUACUGUCAGUCUUGAGUACAGUAGAGGUGGGCGGAAUUCGUGGUGUAGCGGUGAAAUGCUUAGAUAUCACGAAGAACUCCGAUUGCGAAGGCAGCUCACUGGACUGCAACUGACACUGAUGCUCGAAAGUGUGGGUAUCAAACAGGAUUAGAUACCCUGGUAGUCCACACAGUAAACGAUGAAUACUCGCUGUUUGCGAUAUACAGUAAGCGGCCAAGCGAAAGCAUUAAGUAUUCCACCUGGGGAGUACGCCGGCAACGGUGAAACUCAAAGGAAUUGACGGGGGCCCGCACAAGCGGAGGAACAUGUGGUUUAAUUCGAUGAUACGCGAGGAACCUUACCCGGGCUUAAAUUGCAGUGGAAUGAUGUGGAAACAUGUCAGUGAGCAAUCACCGCUGUGAAGGUGCUGCAUGGUUGUCGUCAGCUCGUGCCGUGAGGUGUCGGCUUAAGUGCCAUAACGAGCGCAACCCUUAUCUUUAGUUACUAACAGGUUAUGCUGAGGACUCUAGAGAGACUGCCGUCGUAAGAUGUGAGGAAGGUGGGGAUGACGUCAAAUCAGCACGGCCCUUACGUCCGGGGCUACACACGUGUUACAAUGGGGGGUACAGAAGGCAGCUAGCGGGUGACCGUAUGCUAAUCCCAAAAGCCUCUCUCAGUUCGGAUCGAAGUCUGCAACCCGACUUCGUGAAGCUGGAUUCGCUAGUAAUCGCGCAUCAGCCACGGCGCGGUGAAUACGUUCCCGGGCCU
rnacentral:rRNA from 1 species